rnacentral:lncRNA from 1 species
GAAGAGUGCUUAUUUGAUUUCAUGUGUGUUCAUAUCUUUAAUCAAGAAUCAUUUUUCACAUCUUCAGACCUUGAAGACUAGUGCAGAUCCCAAAUGCCAUGUACGGUUGAUCAACACUGACUUGCGUGAGGUUGACACAAUCUUAUCCAAUUGACAGGGAAAAGGUACCGCUCUGUCCCUACCAGAAGCAGAUGACAUUUCAAUGAUUGCUAGUUUCAUGGCUUGAAUGAAUCAUGGCUCACCCAUCAUGGUACUGUAACGAAAGAACCAUGCACUAGAAGUCCAGAUGAAACCAUUACAUGGAUUAUUAAUUUGGAUGAAACAAGGAGUGACGGUAGGGUUUAUAUGGGUUUAUUGAUAAGUUUUAGUUUUAUUGUUAAUUUCAUUUCGUACUUGAUGGUAAUUAUGCAAUAAAGUAAAAAAGACAAUUUAAAUUUAAAUUUAAAUUUAAAUUAGGUGUAGAAAGAAAUUAUAUGGGUUCAAAUAAAAUUUUCCUUAAAAGUAAUAUCUUUCCCUCCAAGUCAAUCAGCAUUCCCUGCAGGUUUACUUUAGCAAUUUAAUUGUGUUUUAACCAACUCAAAAAAAUAAAAUAAAAUUUUUUGCUUGUGGUUUUAGCAACUCAAA